UACGGAAGGCAGCAGUAAGGAAUAUUGGUCAAUGGGCGCAAGCCUGAACCAGCCAUGCCGCGUGCAGGAAGACGGCCCUCCGGGUUGUAAACUGCUUUUAUACCGGAAUAAACCUCCUACGUGUAGGGAGCUGAAUGUACGGUAGGAAUAAGGAUCGGCUAACUCCGUGCCAGCAGCCGCGGUAAUACGGAGGAUCCGAGCGUUAUCCGGAUUUAUUGGGUUUAAAGGGUGCGUAGGCGGCCUGUUAAGUCAGGGGUGAAAGACGGUGGCUCAACCAUCGCAGUGCCCUUGAUACUGACGGGCUUGAAUUAACUAGAGGCAGGCGGAAUGUGACAAGUAGCGGUGAAAUGCAUAGAUAUGUCACAGAACACCGAUUGCGAAGGCAGCUUGCUAUGGUUAUAUUGACGCUGAGGCACGAAAGCGUGGGGAUCAAACAGGAUUAGAUACC
rnacentral:rRNA from 1 species